AAUUUAUUAGUUUAAAAAAAACAUUAUUUUUUCAAAAUAAAAAUAAAUUUUAUAAAUUUAUAAAUUA
rnacentral:tRNA from 1 species